GCAAGGUGCGGACCCAUGGAUGACGUCCAUCAUAGAUGGAUGGCCAUCAAACAACACAUGCGGUGUGCAUCGUUUCAGAUAUCUCUCAUCUUCAACAAGAACAAACAACAACAAUGACUGUGAGCUGCAACAAGCAAUCUGAAAGGCCCAACGGAUAAGCUGAAGUCCUUUUUUCUAGAGGCUUCUCUCCAACUACAUUGGUAGCUGUGAUUCAAGCAGAGUGUUGAAACAAGCAAUUACUGAUCUAUGAGAAAGGAUUGAUGACUGCAAGGCGAUGGUGUUCCAGAUUUCAUCAUUUCGAUCACCUACUUAGCUCGAAGAAGACAGCAUCAUGGAUCGAACCUUCCGAGAUCAGUGUAUCAUAUCUGGGAUCCAGGGCAUCAUCGACCACCAUAGUUGGGGGUAUAGACAUUGGAAAGAUGUCAAUGGAGGUAUGGAGUCUGUGAACGUGUACAUUAUCAAACGCGGGAACUACUAUAUUUUGCGCACCAUAUUUUUUUAGGAUUUGGUUGCGGAAAUCAUGUCCGACAAAUAGCGACCAUAUUUGUAAGGGACGAGGAUGGGAAGGAAAUAAAUAUCUUUUGGAGUGUAUUUGCAUGAAUGCAUGAACAGAUGGAUUCAUGAAUAUGUAAACCAAAUUUUAUACUUUGAUGUGAGAGCAUGUAACAGGAAAAUUCUCCCAAUUCCUUCAAGCAUUCCACAAGAUUUCUCUUAGGCAAAUCAGU